rnacentral:sRNA from 1 species
GUGGCUAGUCUACAGCUACAGCCAGACACAUUUCAAAACGGAACUCAAGUCUGACUGUUCAAGUUUAGGUAAAAAGGUUUACAGAGGAUGAGACCAAUACACCUGGUACUGCUCACUCUAGCAGUCGUCACGUCUGACACCGUCGCUCAGGUCGAGAAUGUCACGUGUUCCACUGGACUAUAUCCUCCAGACCCAAAGUAA